rnacentral:rRNA from 1 species
AUUGAACGCUGGCGGCAUGCCUUACACAUGCAAGUCGAACGGUAACAGGUCUUCGGAUGCUGACGAGUGGCGAACGGGUGAGUAAUGCAUCGGAACGUGCCCAGUUGUGGGGGAUAACUGCUCGAAAGAGCAGCUAAUACCGCAUACGACCUGAGGGUGAAAGCGGGGGAUCGCAAGACCUCGCGCAAUUGGAGCGGCCGAUGUCAGAUUAGGUAGUUGGUGGGGUAAAGGCCUACCAAGCCGACGAUCUGUAGUUGGUCUGCGAGGCCGACCAGCCACACUGGGACUGAGACACGGCCCAGACUCCUACGGGAGGCAGCAGUGGGGAAUUUUGGACAAUGGGCGCAAGCCUGAUCCAGCAAUGCCGCGUGCAGGAAGAAGGCCUUCGGGUUGUAAACUGCUUUUGUCAGGGAAGAAAUCCUCUGGGUUAAUACCCCGGGGGGAUGACGGUACCUGAAGAAUAAGCACCGGCUAACUACGUGCCAGCAGCCGCCGUAACAC